CAGUUCUGUAAGAGCAAGCCAAGCAGUAAAUAACCAUUAGACCUUUCCAUUCCCAAGGCUGUUUUAUACUGGUCCAGACACGCAUUCAUUUUUGGUUUGAGUAAUAACAAUGAAAAAUAUACAUUUGAUGCUUACAUUGUUUUGAGUAGAAACAAGGUCUAUGAAAUAAUGUGUUUAGUUGCUCAGUCAUGUCUGACUCUUUGCAACCCUAUGGACCAUAACCUUCCAGGAUCCUCUGUCCAUGGGAUUCUCCAGGCAAAAAUACUGGACUGGGUUGCCAUUCCCUUCUCCAGGGGAUCUUCCCGACCCAGGGAUCAAACCCUGGUCUCCUACACUGCAGGCAGAUUCUUUAUCUCUGAGCCACCAGGUAAAGCCUAUAUGAAAUAAGAGUAACUACUAAUUUUGAGAACUUUUAAAUGUGCCAAAUACUUUGUCUAUUUGUUUUCCUUUAUCCAUGCAACCUUCCUGGAGAUAAGUAUCAUCGUCACUACUUUUCAGGGAAAACUGUGGUUCAGAGGCAUGAAGCAGCAAGCACAGCUCCAGGAUCCCUGGGAUUCUCACUGGUGCUUAUUUCUGGUGAUGCUGGCUCCCUUCAGAGCCCACAUGGGUACAUUUACUUUCAGAGGUUUGCCACUUUGAAUGUUACUCAAUGUCAGGGGAGCCUCAGACAUACUCUGAGCUUCUCUGGGCCUGGCCCCUUCUAACUAGAAGUUUGCACUCAUCUUACCCAUUGUGACUGAUGUCUACCUCUCAAUGGCCCAGGAGAAAACCCACCCCUGGACAAAGUCCUGUUCCCCUUGUAUCUCAGCUUCCAUCACAGCCACUGGUUCCCCAAAGUCAAGCUCAGAAACAAGGUGUAAGGACAAAUCCAAGCAGACAAAAAAAAAGAAGAGGCCUCAUGACAUCAAACCUGAAAAUUCUGGGCCAAUUUAAGGCAACCAAGGAUGCUGUGAAAAGGUUAAAAUAUUUUUUUUCUUCACCCAAGAAUGCUCGAGGAACAGAGUUAUUUUCACAAGCUGAGCGGGACCCUCCACAGAGAGCUUGGUGACAUCAGCAAAACAGCACCUGAGAAGUCUCCUUCUGUGAGGUUUUGCCACUGUUCCAUGACUACGUCCUCUUGGUGUGUGGUUGUCGUGGCCUGGCCACCUCCUUCAGCCACAUAGAGGGGCUCCUGUCCCUGAGAUUUAUGAUCAGAAUAAGUGAUGUCAAAGUGAAACCGUGUAACUCACAUUUUGACUUGAACUCAGUCUCACACCUGGUCUCAGGAAUUAAUGAAACUCAGGUUCUUGAUGUCUCAUCACAGAAAGAAUUCAGUGAGAGGCAAACUGAUAGAUAAGAAGUUGAUUUAUUUAAAGAGAAACACACUCCACAGACUGAGUGUUGGCCAUCU